CUUGACUUUGAACCAACAUAAACCACAACAAACAGACGCCAUAUUGGUUGUGUACCCCUUGAUCCUACACGAGACCAAGGGAGAGAGACGAGUUAAAGGAAGAUCUCAAUUUACUACUGAACUACAAAGGGAGCGAGGAAUGUGACAAAAAGGGAGCAGCUCUGUUGAAGAACCAGGACAGGGCAGGGAAGGUGAAUGGCCCAUCUAUAUUCCCUGACCUCUGCACUUCACACCGCAAGAAUUUGAUGCACAUGUUGAAAAACCAUCAAAAGCUGCAAGACAUCAAAAGGAGAUGCAUCAAGGCAAAGGAAGAGCUGUCGGAGAAUUUGCACGUUAGACUGAAGU